rnacentral:rRNA from 1 species
UACAGAGGGUGCAAGCGUUAAUCGGAAUUACUGGGCGUAAAGCGUGCGUAGACGGUCAUGUAAGUCGGGUGUGAAAGCCCCGGGCUCAACCUGGGAAUUGCAUUCGAGACUGCAUGGCUAGGAUGCGGAAGAGGGAAGCGGAAUUUCCGGUGUAGCGGUGAAGUGCGUAGAUAUCGGAAGGAACACCAGUGGCGAAAGCGGCUUCCUGGUCCAGCAUCGACGUUCAGGCACGAAAGCGUGGGGAGCAAACAGG